rnacentral:lncRNA from 1 species
GGCUGAACCCAGACACCCGAGCUCCCUGAGGCUGCCGUGAAGCCCUGAGCCGCGGUUUGUCUUGUGUGAGGGCAAAGGGACGAGGAGAAAACUCCAGAAAGGGAGGUGCAGACCUUACCUUCUUUCGCACGGUUGGGGAAAAUGAGACUUUCAUCCCCUUAAGUAAGGUAGGUUAAGUGGACAAAGAAGCCGGCUAGCCCCUGGGAGGUCCGUUCUUUUACUGGGAUAUGGGUCCCAUUAAGGUUGCUGCCCACAGGCUGGAAUCAGUCUGGCCAAAAGUGCUGGCCUUCAGGGCAGGGAUUUCCUAAUGGCAUUUCAACUGCAUUUCCAAGGGUACCAAAAUAACUGCAAAAAAAGGGUGGCUGGGCAAAGUGUUGGUAAGCCCUGAUGAAAUAUUUAAGUCCUCUGCCUCCACUUCUUAGAGUUCCUGCUGUGAGCUUUGUGAAACGCCAAGGGAAUAUUGUUAUUAAAACACCAACCUAAAACCAACUCACAUGAAAUACUGCAGGUGGCAGGAGUAGAAUGGGCUGGUGUAAGGCCUUAUUAGCCCACUCUUGAUUUCUUUUUCUCUCCAGCCAAGCCAACCUGUAACUUGUUCAGAGGGAGGCAGUUGAUGCCGUGGCGCUGUUCAUGAAUGAUCUUUCUAGGUUUACUCAUCAAAAUUACAUUCUCUGGAUGCUGGUGUUGUGAGAGAUGAAUAUUCAUAAGAAUUCCUGGAAAGCAAUUGUGUCUGCAAAGGCUGACUUACUGAUUAGAACUGCAGUGAGUUGGAGAGAUAGGAAUAUUGCCUGUCCGGAGGCUCAGCUAGCUCUAAACCCCACGGAUCGGCCAGCCAUACCUUGAGCAGAUCCCUAGCUGCCCAACCCGAAAGCUAUCAUCAGAUAACACCUGAGUCCUACAGCAAAGGUCUCCCCAGCCCCAGUCUUGCUGUACUGCCUCUGCGAUGUGCCCGACAAUGUAUUUUAAACUUGGCUUGAUUUAUGACUUUGUUCUGUAACAAUUUAAAACGUUGUGAAGCUCCUUCCACACUGAAACAUGCAGUUUAGGAUAACCUAAAUCUAUAUUCCUGGGACGUGGUCACUCAGGUAUGGCUCAAGAAUAAACCAUUUCUUUUUUUUUUUUUUUUUUUUUUUAGCAUAUCUAAACCCUUUUUUUUUUAAAAGAUUUUUUCAGACACUCCAGAAGAGGGAGUCAGAUUUCGUUACGGAUGGUUGUGAGCCACCAUGUGGUUGCUGGGAUUUGAACUCUGGACCUUCAGAAGAGCAGUCGGGUGCUCUUACCCACUGAGCCAUCUCACCAGCCCCGAAUAAACCAUUUCUUAUCCUGUUAGGGAUAAAAGCUUUUGGGAAAGAGCUGUCUCACACCCACCCUCCACCCCAACCCCCAGCAGCUGGACACCCAGCAGUUGCUCACACUUGGUGGAUGGCUCCUUGGCGAGGACAUCUCUGCUUCUCCCUUUGGCCUCUGCCCAGCUGUGCUUGUGAAAACUGCCUCUCUUCCAGCCAGGUUCAUUUUUGCAUCCUGUAAGGAAAGAUUUCCUCCCCAAUAGCCUAGGCUAGCUUCAAACUUGUAAUUAAAAUGAAUGAAUUUUUUUUUCAUCUUCCUGCCUCUAAGUUCUGGGAUUAAAGGCUUGGGCCACUCUACCUGGCCAAGAAACUGAGGCUGGAGUACCUGCCCACCCAGAGGACCUGAGUUGAUGCCCAGCACCCAUAUCCAGUGGCUCACAGUUGUAUGUAACUCCAGCUUGAGGGAAGGACUCCCUUGUCAUCUGCCCCCACCCCCAGCAUACACGCACAAAUGAAAUAAAGAUUUUACAC